rnacentral:rRNA from 1 species
AUGAACAUUGCUCUCCUGACCCGAUGGCUUUGGCGUAUCGCCAAUGGGGAGGGAGGACUCUGGCUUACCAUCAUCCAAAAUAAGUACCUCAGGGGCCAACCUCUAGCUUUCUGUCAGCGCUCUGGUGGCUCCCAGUUCUGGCAGGCUGUGAUCCAACUCCUUCCCUUCCUCCGCAUCGGCACGUCCAUCUCGGUUGGCUCCGGGUCCUCGACCCUAUUCUGGUUCGAUCGUUGGUUAGGGGAUUCUCGCCUGGCUGCUCGAUUCCCGGAACUAUUUUCCAUAGCGGUUGACCGUCUGGUCUCUGUCGAGAUGACCCUUAUUGGCUUAGGGCUUCUCGCUUUCUGGCGCCCAUUCGCCCCCCCUGAGGUGGCCGCUUGGGACUCCCUCCUCCAGGACAUCGCCCUUCUGCCGAUGGACGUCGAGGGUACCCCUGAUUCCUUCACUUGGCGUCUGGAGCCCUCUGGCCGCUUCUCCACUAAGUCCUUACACGCAGCCAUCGCACCCUCGUCAUCCCCUGAGCCCUUUAGCCUGAUCUGGGACAUUCGCCUGCCUCUGAAGAUCAGGAUCUUCCUGUGGCAGUGGAUCUGUGGACAUCUCCCCUCCGGGGUUGAGGUCCUCAAGCGUAAUGGGCCAGGAGAUGGGAUGUGCCCCAUGUGCGGCAUGGUGGAGGAUGCUAACCACAUCUUCUUCUCGUGCUCCACUGCCCAGUUCCUGUGGGCCUGCUUCCGCGAGACGGUCGGUGGACAGUGGUGCAACACCAACUUCCCCGACUUACUUGCGGAGAUCCACGCCUCCUCCCCUCGCUACCGCCAUAUUAGAUGGCUGUGUGUUGGGGUCCUUGCCUGGACGCUUUGGACCAUCUGCAACAAGCUUGUUAUUCAGAAAGUGCCUCUCCGACGUGCGACUGACGCGAUCUUUAAAAUGUGUGGCUACUUGCAGCUUUGGCGGCCGCUUAGCCGCCCCCAGGACCGGGACGCCAUCAACACCCUCCUCGCCGACCUUCGCUUGAUGGCCUUCCGCGUGGCUCCCCCGCUGCCGCACCCUCCACCGGAGCCCGACUAG